rnacentral:rRNA from 1 species
UACAGAGGGGGCCAGCGUUAUUCGGAAUUAUUGGGCGUAAAGCGCGCGUAGGCGGCUUUUCAAGUCGAUUGUGAAAUCCCCGGGCUUAACCUGGGAACUGCAGUCGAGACUGUCUAGCUAGAGUAUGGGAGAGGGAAGUGGAAUUUCAGGUGUAGCGGUGAAAUGCGUAGAUAUCUGAAGGAACAUCAGUGGCGAAAGCGACUUCCUGGACCAAUACUGACGCUCAUGUGCGAAAGCGUGGGGAGCAAACAGG